rnacentral:lncRNA from 1 species
ACUAGAGUUUUGCUCCUGGGACGGGACGUCCGAGAGGUACGCUCCAAUUUCCAGUUUCUGUGGAAAUUCAAUAGAGAGAUAAAUGUUGUUUUCAUCAAGUGUUUGUACCAGCUAUUAUUUCUUCCUGAAAAACAAACAAGCAAGGCAACAAAAGCAAAUAUCGAAAAGGAGUAGAACAGUUGGAAUUUAUAAUCUUCCUUCUGAACUAACAGUCUCCUGUUCUUUUUACUCUGGCUGAGGUACAAGGAAUCAGGAAAGAGAGGGCAACUGUGAGGAAGGAGCAUUCUCCAGGUGGGAAGGUUAGUAAAAUUAACCAUACAAUUACAGAAUGG